rnacentral:rRNA from 1 species
GUGGGGAAUCUUGGACAAUGGGCGCAAGCCUGAUCCAGCCAUGCCGCGUGAGUGAAGAAGGCCUUAGGGUUGUAAAACUCUUUCGCCGGUGAAGAUAAUGACGGUAACCGGAGAAGAAGCCCCGGCUAACUUCGUGCCAGCAGCCGCGGUAAUACGAAGGGGGCUAGCGUUGUUCGGAAUUACUGGGCGUAAAGCGCACGUAGGCGGAUUUGUAAGUAGGGGGUGAAAUCCCCGGGCUCAACCCGGGAACUGCCUUCUAGACUGCAAGUCUCGAGGUCAGGAGAGGCAAGCGGAAUUCCGAGUGUAGAGGUGAAAUUCGUAGAUAUUCGGAGGAACACCAGUGGCGAAGGCGGCUUGCUGGACUGAUACUGACGCUGAGGUGCGAAAGCGUGGGGAGCAAACAGGAUUAGAAACCCGGGUAGUCC